rnacentral:lncRNA from 1 species
AUGGGAAGGACUAGCCCAAGAGGAGAAAAAAAGGGGAGCUGGAUGCUUCUGGAUGCUGGCUCCACCCUUAGGUCACCCCAAGCUCGACAGUUCUACAAGCUCAGAGGAAGGGAAGGGAGGGUCAUGGGAAGAGAAACAGGCCUGGCAGAGAACCGAACUCAACUAGCCCUGGACCCUCAGUUUUGCUGAGAGCAAAAUCAAAAUCAAAAUCAAAUCCUCCCUACUCAACCAUGAAAGAACAUUCUGGAGCAGAUUCCUUGAAAUGUCAUCGGGGAAAACAAACCACCACCAACUGUUUGAGAGCCUUUUGGCCAUAUAAAGGGAAUUGCAAUAUUCCGAGAGAGGGGCCCUGUUGGAGUAGAAAGAACCAGGGGUCUGUCGUCGAACAUGUCUCAGCUUGAACCCUUGAACUUCUUGGGUGACAUUUGGCAAGUUCUAUGACAUUGCUAAACUUCAACUUUGUCAGCUGUAAAAUGGUACAGUAAUAUUAUCUCAAACAGCUGUUGCAAGUACGAAAUGAAGUGAUACAUGGAAAAUGCCAAGCAUAUUCGCUGCCCAAUAAAUGCUGGCCAUCAUUCCUGCUUUUGAAAGCU